rnacentral:lncRNA from 1 species
UGGGGUUCAUUAUAAUCAUAACAUAAUAAUAAGAUGCAGCAUAUAAUGAAUCAAAAAGUUUAUUUUAUUAAUUAACAAUAUCAAGUACAUGAGUCUGGAAGAUAAAAUACAAAAAUAUCUUAUUGCAUCCCAUAUGCGAUUGGCUUGUAGGUAAUAAUUCUUUCAAUCUCCCACUUGCACUAAAGCCAAUUGCCCCUAUACUUGAUGCCCAUGC